AGUUAAAAGCCCCGACGAAUCGGAGCAUGCCGCAUGGCAAGACGCGCUGACAUGGUGCCACGCGGGAGGCCACGUUGGCGAUCUGCGUGGCCGUAAUCGGACGGUCCAAAUUUGUUCCCAUGCGCACGGACGGUCCAGAUCCGUUCUCUCCUCAGACGCGAUCGGACGGUCAUGAUUAAACGUGAUGCGUGGUCCAGAUCUACUUUUUAUUUAAAUGCGAUCGGACGAUCCAA
rnacentral:lncRNA from 1 species